CCUACGGGCGGCAGCAGUCGAGAAUCAUUCACAAUGGGGGAAACCCUGAUGGUGCGACGCCGCGUGGGGGAAUGAAGGUCUUCGGAUUGUACACCCCUGUCAUGUGGGCGCAAAUUAAAAUGAUAGUACCACAAGAGGAAGAGCCUGCUAACUCUGUGCCAGCAGCCGCGGUAAUACAGAGGUCUCAAGCGUUGUUCGGAAUCACUGGUCGUAAAGCGUGCGUAGGCUGGUUCGUAAGGCGUGUGUGAAAGGCGCGGGCUCAACCCGAGGACGGCACAUGAUACUGCGAGACUAGAGUAAAGGAGGGGGAACCGGAAUUCGCGGUGUAGCAGUGAAAUGCGUAGAUAUCGAGAGGAACCCUCGUGGCGAAGGCGGGUUCCUGGACAGUAACUGACGCUGAGGCACGAAGGCCAGGGGAGCGAAAGGGAUUAGAUACCCUUGUAGUC
rnacentral:rRNA from 1 species